AUACGUAGGUGGCAAACGUUGUCCGGAAUUAUUGGGCGUAAAGCGCAUGUAGGCGGCGUGUUAAGUCUGUCGUGAAACUGCGGGGCUCAGCCCCGUAUGGCGAUGGAAACUGAUGUGCUUGAGGGCAGGAGAGGAAAGGGGAACUCCAAGUGAAGGGGUGAAAUGCGUAGAUAUUGGGGAGAACCCCGGUGGCGAAGGCGCCUUUCUGGACUGUGUCUGACGCUGAGAUGCGAAAGCCAGGGUAGCGAACGGGAUUAGAUACCCCGGUAGUCCUGGCCGUAAACGAUGGGUACUAGGUGUGGGAGGUAUCGACCCCUUCCGUGCCGGAGUUAACGCAAUAAGUACCCCGCCUGGGGAGUACGGCCGCAAGGCUUAAACUCAAAUGAAUUGACGGGG
rnacentral:rRNA from 1 species